GGGCAGCUGUUAUGGCCCAAUUCAGACCGAGACCCAUAAACAAAACCAAAAUAAACAGUCCAUUUUUGUUUACCAAUCCAGACCCAAAUUUUAAACCAUGGCCCAAAAUACAAAUAGCCCAAUACAAACACUUAAACCCUAGCCCAAACUUUUAAGCCCAAACCAAAAAAAUAUUUUUGGUAGAACCCUAGCAACUAGCCUUGCGCCGUAACCCCCAAUUGCCCUUGCCACACAUGGCUUCCACAUCCACGCCCGCACUACUCGCGCCUCCACGUCAGAGUCCACGCCUACCACGCACCUGCAAACAAGCAAAAUAAGUUGUAAAAUCGGCUAUAAAAGCCUUUGGAAAAUAUUGUAAAAGGUCCCCUUUUUUUUGGAGAAUAGAAACUGAGAAAUCAAAGUAAAACAGAUUUUAAAAAGAAAUCAAGGUGAUUUUACUGUAGUUUUAAAAUUUUGUUUCAUUUUGUUUUAUUUUUCUACCACCUUUUUUUUUCCCUUUUUUAGAUUUUUUUAAUAUAUUAUACGAAAGUAAAGUAUUAAAAAGAGGGAGUUUACCAGACUUUCGGUGGUCACGUAGACGUCGGAGUUUCCUCCGUCGUUGAAAUCGGGCCCAGGAGGAGGUCGGAAUCGCCUUUGUUCUCCGUUUGGGCGUGCGACGUAUAUGGCUGAUAAGGGGAGGGAUUUUGAAAAUUAGGUUUUCUUAAAACAAAAUUGAAAUGAUUUCAAGCAGAUUUUUUUGGACUUAAAA
rnacentral:lncRNA from 1 species